rnacentral:miRNA from 1 species
AGUUUUUCAUUUGGCCUGGCUAGC